rnacentral:rRNA from 1 species
CACGUAGGCGGCGAGGUGUGUCGGAUGUGAAAGCCCUCGGCUUAACCGAGGAAGUGCAUCAGAAACUGCCUGGCUUGAGUACGGGAGAGGGUAGCGGAAUUCCCGGUGUAGAGGUGAAAUUCGUAGAUAUCGGGAGGAACACCAGUGGCGAAGGCGGCUACCUGGACCGAUACUGACGCUGAGGUGCGAAAGCGUGGGGAGCAAACA